UGGGAGCUUGCUCCCUGAUGUUAGCGGCGGACGGGUGAGUAACACGUGGGUAACCUGCCUGUAAGACUGGGAUAACUCCGGGAAACCGGGGCUAAUACCGGAUGGUUGUUUGAACCGCAUGGUUCAGACAUAAAAGGUGGCUUCGGCUACCACUUACAGAUGGACCCGCGGCGCAUUAGCUAGUUGGUGAGGUAACGGCUCACCAAGGCGACGAUGCGUAGCCGACCUGAGAGGGUGAUCGGCCACACUGGGACUGAGACACGGCCCAGACUCCUACGGGAGGCAGCAGUAGGGAAUCUUCCGCAAUGGACGAAAGUCUGACGGAGCAACGCCGCGUGAGUGAUGAAGGUUUUCGGAUCGUAAAGCUCUGUUGUUAGGGAAGAACAAGUGCCGUUCAAAUAGGGCGGCACCUUGACGGUACCUAACCAGAAAGCCACGGCUAACUACGUGCCAGCAGCCGCGGUAAUACGUAGGUGGCAAGCGUUGUCCGGAAUUAUUGGGCGUAAAGGGCUCGCAGGCGGUUUCUUAAGUCUGAUGUGAAAGCCCCCGGCUCAACCGGGGAGGGUCAUUGGAAACUGGGGAACUUGAGUGCAGAAGAGGAGAGUGGAAUUCCACGUGUAGCGGUGAAAUGCGUAGAGAUGUGGAGGAACACCAGUGGCGAAGGCGACUCUCUGGUCUGUAACUGACGCUGAGGAGCGAAAGCGUGGGGAGCGAACAGGAUUAGAUACCCUGGUAGUCCACGCCGUAAACGAUGAGUGCUAAGUGUUAGGGGGUUUCCGCCCCUUAGUGCUGCAGCUAACGCAUUAAGCACUCCGCCUGGGGAGUACGGUCGCAAG
rnacentral:rRNA from 1 species